CUACCAUGCAGUCGAGGGGUAGAACACUUCGGUGUUUGAGACCGGCGCACGGGUGCGUAACGCGUAUGCAAUCUACCUUGUACAGGGGAAUAGCCCAGAGAAAUUUGGAUUAAUGCCCCAUAGUAUAUAACCUUCGCAUGUUGGUUAUAUUAAAGUUCCAACGGUACAAGAUGAGCAUGCGUCCCAUUAGUUAGUUGGUAAGGUAACGGCUUACCAAGACGAUGAUGGGUAGGGGUCCUGAGAGGGAGAUCCCCCACACUGGUACUGAGACACGGACCAGACUCCUACGGGAGGCAGCAGUGAGGAAUAUUGGUCAAUGGUCGCAAGACUGAACCAGCCAUGCCGCGUGCAGGAAGACGGUCCUAUGGAUUGUAAACUGCUUUUAUACAGGAAGAAACCCUCCCACGUGUGGGAGCUUGACGGUACUGUAGGAAUAAGGAUCGGCUAACUCCGUGCCAGCAGCCGCGGUAAUACGGAGGAUCCAAGCGUUAUCCGGAAUCAUUGGGUUUAAAGGGUCCGUAGGCGGUCUUAUAAGUCAGUGGUGAAAGCCCAUCGCUCAACGAUGGAACUGCCAUUGAUACUGUAAGACUUGAAUGCUUAGGAAGUAACUAGAAUAUGUAGUGUAGCGGUGAAAUGCUUAGAUAUUACAUGGAAUACCAAUUGCGAAGGCAGGUUACUACUAAGUGAUUGACGCUGAUGGACGAAAGCGUGGGGAGCGAACAGGAUUAGAUACCCUGGUAGUCCACGCCGUAAACGAUGGAUACUAGCUGUUCGGAGCAAUCUGAGU
rnacentral:rRNA from 1 species